rnacentral:rRNA from 1 species
GGACCCGCACAAGCGGUGGAGUAUGUGGUUUAAUUCGAUGCAACGCGAAGAACCUUACCAGGGUUUGACAUCCUGCGAAUCUCUUGGAAACGAGAGAGUGCCUUCGGGAACGCAGUGACAGGUGGUGCAUGGCUGUCGUCAGCUCGUGUCGUGAGAUGUUGGGUUAAGUCCCGCAACGAGCGCAACCCACGUCUUUAGUUGCCAGCAUUUAGUUGGGCACUCUAGAGAGACCGCCGGUGAUAAACCGGAGGAAGGUGUGGAUGACGUCAAGUCAUCAUGCCCCUUACAUCCUGGGCUACACACGUACUACAAUGCUACGGACAAAGAGCAGCAAGUUCGCGAGGACAAGCAAAUCCCAUAAACCGUGGCUCAGUUCAGAUCGUAGGCUGCAACUCGCCUACGUGAAGGCGGAAUCGCUAGUAAUCGC